UACGGAGGAUGCAAGCGUUAUCCGGAAUGAUUGGGCGUAAAGCGUCCGCAGGUGGCAGUGUAAGUCUGCUGUCAAAGGUCAGGGCUCAACCCUGAACAGGCAGUGGAAACUACACAGCUAGAGUGCGGUGGGGGCAGAGGGAAUUCCCAGUGUAGCGGUGAAAUGCGUAGAGAUUGGGAAGAACACCGGUGGCGAAAGCGCUCUGCUAGGCCGUAACUGACACUCAUGGACGAAAGCUAGGGGAGCGAAUGGG
rnacentral:rRNA from 1 species